rnacentral:rRNA from 1 species
CGUGUUUGUGUGCGAGCGGCGGCGGUACGACGGAGGAGUGAAAGGGUGCGGUGAAUUAUUGGGCGUAAAGCGAACGUAGGCGGCAUUGCAAGUCGGAUGUGAAAUCCCUCGGCUUAAACAAGGAAGUGCAUCCGAAACUGCAGUGGUUGAGUACUUAAGAGGAUCGCGGAAUUCCCGGUGUAGAGGUGAAAUUCGUAGAGAUCGGGAGGAACACCAGUGGCGAAGGCGGCGAUCUGGGAAGAUACUGACGCUGAGGUGCGAAAGCGUGGGGAGCAAACAGGAUUAGAUACCCCAGUAGUC